UAAGGCUGAGCUGUGAUGGGGAGUGAAAAUUACAGUAGCGAAGGUCAUGAUCUCACACUGCCAAGAAAAGCCUCUAGCCAGGUGAUGGUGCCCGUACCGCAAACCGACACAGGUAGGCGAGAAGAGAAUUCUAAGGCGCGCGGAAGAACUCUCGUUAAGGAACUCGGCAAAAUGACCCCGUAACUUCGGGAGAAGGGGUGCCCCGGUAGUGUGAAUAGCACGAGGGGGCCGCAGUGAAAAGGCCCAAGCGACUGUUUAGCAAAAACACAGGUCUGUGCGAAGCCGUAAGGCGAAGUAUACGGGCUGACGCCUGCCCGGUGCUGGAAGGUUAAGGGGAGCGGUUAGGGAGUAAUCCCGAAGCUGUGAACCGAAGCCCCAGUAAACGGCGGCCGUAACUAUAACGGUCCUAAGGUAGCGAAAUUCCUUGUCAGGUAAAUUCUGACCCGCACGAAUGGCGUAACGACUUGGGCGCUGUCUCAACGAGAGAUCCGGUGAAAUUUUAAUACCUGUGAAGAUGCAGGUUACCCGCGACAAGACGGAAAGACCCCAUGGAGCUUUACUGCAGCUUGAUAUUGAAUUUGGGUACGAUCUGUACAGGAUAGGUGGGAGCCUUUGAAGCAUGAGCGCCAGCUUGUGUGGAGGCACCGUUGGGAUACCACCCUGAUCGUAUCUAGGUUCUAACCUGGUACCGUAAACCGGUGCGGGGACAGUGUCAGGUGGGCAGUUUGACUGGGGCGGUCGCCUCCUAAAGAGUAACGGAGGCGCCCAAAGGUUCCCUCAGAAUGGUUGGAAAUCAUUCGAAGAGUGCAAAGGCAUAAGGGAGCUUGACUGCGAGACCUACAAGUCGAGCAGGGACGAAAGUCGGGCUUAGUGAUCCGGUGGUACCGCAUGGAAGGGCCAUCGCUCAACGGAUAAAAGCUACCCUGGGGAUAACAGGCUUAUCUCCCCCAAGAGUCCACAUCGACGGGGAGGUUUGGCACCUCGAUGUCGGCUCAUCGCAUCCUGGGGCUGAAGUAGGUCCCAAGGGUUGGGCUGUUCGCCCAUUAAAGCGGUACGCGAGCUGGGUUCAGAACGUCGUGAGACAGUUCGGUCCCUAUCUGUCGUGGGCGUAGGAAAUUUGAGAGGAGCUGUCCUUAGUACGAGAGGACCGGGAUGGACGUACCGCUGGUGUACCAGUUGUUCCGCCAGGAGCACCGCUGGGUAGCUAUGUACGGACGGGAUAAGCGCUGAAAGCAUCUAAGCGUGAAGCCCCCCUCAAGAUGAGAUUUCCCAGUAUGUAAGACCCCUUGAAGACGACGAGGUAGAUAGGCUGGGGGUGGAAGUGCAGCAAUGCAUGGAGCUGACCAGUACUAAUCGGUCGAGGGCUUAUCCAA
rnacentral:rRNA from 1 species